rnacentral:rRNA from 1 species
CUACGGGGUGCUGCAGUGAGGAAUAUUGCACAAUGGGGGGAACCCUGAUGCAGCAACGCCGCGUGGAGGAUGACGCAUUUCGGUGUGUAAACUCCUUUUAUAUGUCAAGAAAAUGACGGUAGCAUAUGAAUAAGCACCGGCUAACUCCGUGCCAGCAGCCGCGGUAAUACGGAGGGUGCAAGCGGUUACUCGGAAUCACUGGGCGUAAAGGACGCGUAGGCGGGUUGGAAAGUCAGGUGUGAAAUCCAACAGCUUAACUGUAGAACUGCACUUGAAACUUCUAAUCUAGAGUAUGGGAGGGGGAGAUGGAAUUAGUGGUGGAGGGGUAAAAUCCGUAGAUAUCACUAGGAAUACCUAAAGCGAAGGCGAUCUCCUGGAACAUUACUGACGCUAAGGCGUGAAAGCGUGGGGAGCAAACAGGAUUAGAUACCCGCGUAGUC